UGAACGCUGGCGGCGUGCUUAACACAUGCAAGUCGAACGCUGAAGCUCCCAGCUUGCUGGGGGUGGAUGAGUGGCGAACGGGUGAGUAUCACGUGAGUAACCUGCCCUUGACUCUGGGAUAAGCCCGGGAAACUGGGUCUAAUACUGGAUAGGACUGGCCAUCGCAUGGUGUUGGUUGAAAGCUUUUGCGGUUUUGGAUGGACUCGCGGCCUAUCAGCUUGUUGGUGGGGUAAUGGCCUACCAAGGCUUUGACGGGUAGCCGGCCUGAGAGGGUGACCGGCCACACUGGGACUGAGACACGGCCCAGACUCCUACGGGAGGCAGCAGUGGGGGAUAUUGCACAAUGGGCGCAAGCCUGAAUGCAGCGACGCCGCGUGAGGGAUGACGGCCUUCGGGUUGUAAACCUCUUUCAGUUGGGAAGAAGCCUUUCGGGGUGACGGUACCUUCAGAAGAAGCACCGGCUAACUACGUGCCAGCCGCUGC
rnacentral:rRNA from 1 species